CCUGUACCACUUAUAAGAGCUGGAGGACAAACAAGGAGGACGAGGAAGGAACUUCAAGUGAAGAUACCCUCAACAAUACUUCACAGAGAUGUAAGGCGCAUUGUUGUGUUAUUGCCGAUAGAAGAACAAGAAAACCCUACUGGGACAAGAUCUGGCGAAGAGAGAGGCGUGACCUCCUUGGGUUAAAAAAAAAAAACCAGGAGCUCAAGUGGGAGGUGUCAAGUUGAAACAGCAAUUGGUGUAUUUGUGUGAGUGCAAUACCAUCUCCACCCAGCUGGCACGUGGCCUACAGAAAAUCAAGCACACCCGUCUUUCACUCAGGCCUUCAAGAGCUAUAAGUCUACUCAGCACACCUGUGUUGAAAGAACCUCUACAAACAAAGACCUCAUCUUCAAGCUCCUGCAGAAACACCACUGGUUUUCAACCUGCUUGGGUGUCAUGUAUUGAAAAGUACAAGGAUUUAAA